UAUUAGUUCUAUUAUUAUAUUGUUGUUAGGAUUAUGUGCCUUUUGCAUCAUGCUUAUGUGAUAGUUAGAAUAAUUUCUUUAAUCGAAAUUUUCGGAUCUUAUCUUAUUUUCGUUUAGAAUAAGAGUCGAGUAGAGGUAAUUAAAAAAUAGAUAUGGUGUGAUAAAUUAAUCGUCGAAAAUUAUAGCUAUUUUAUAACUUAACUUUUUGAAUUAGUUACUUGGCUAAGAUGUCUAGUAGCAGGAUACACUCUAGUUAUUUUAGUUUUUAGUGGGGUUAAAAUUACCCUUCUGUAAUAAUUGUGUUAUAACUUUUAUAGUUAAGAUAAGUUAGAGUUAUUUUAAUAAGUUGUGUAAUUUGAAUAGAUUGUUUUUAUAAAUGCUUAAAUAAGUAAUAUUAAUAUUUAUAUUAUUUCUCGAAAUUUGCCCGUCUGUUUAUUAAAAACAUUGUCAUAAUUAAUAGUUUAUGGUAGUACCUGCUCUAUGUGUUUAUAAAUGGCCGCAGUAUCUUGACUGUGCGAAGGUAGCAUAAUUAAUUGCCUUAUAAUUGAAGGCUUGUUUGAAUGGUUUGACGUGGUAAAGAAAAAUAUUAUAAAUUUUAUUGAAAUUAUUAUAGAGGGCACAGAAACCUCUGAGAUUAAUUAGACGGAAAGACCCCAGGAUCUUUUAUUUUUGCUUGGGGCAAGUUAGAGUUUUUUAUUCUAAUUAAGACCCUUGUGGUAUAGUGAGCUAAGUUACCCUGGGGAUAACAGUAUUAUAGUUUAGUAGAGAUCCUAUCGAUUAAACUGUUUGUUACCUCGAUGUUGACUUAGGUUUAAUUUAGGCGUAGUAGUUUAAGUUUUAGGUCUGUUCGACCUUAUAAACCUCCAUGAGUUGAGUUAAGACCGGUGUAAGCCAGGUCGGUUCUUAUCUAUUUUUCUAGCUUGCUAGUACGAAAGGAUCGCAAGCUUUUUUAUU
rnacentral:rRNA from 2 species